rnacentral:misc_RNA from 1 species
AGUUGCGAAAAAAAUAAUGAAAGGGUUGGUUUGUUUAUUUAUUUAUUUUUUAGGAUGGUGACUUGGGUCAUGAAACUUGUAGUAAAGUGGUUCGUUGGUUCACAUUUGUCAUUUUGCCCUUUUUGGGCUCGUUUGUUCCGUAUGAGUGAAGCUGAAGGAGGCUAGUGUGUAGUUGCGGGGUUGCUUUCAAUCAAAUCUCGACUUCAUCAACCUCACUGGUCAUCCUAUUUCUGAUGACACUGAUGUCUAAUUCAAUUCCUUAAAGCCUAACUGGUGAACCCUUGCCUUACGAAGUAAGAAUCAAAGCUCACAUUAUAUCCUCUAAACCUCAACUAGAGUCCUGUGCGAUUUGUUACUAUGUCCUGAAGGUGGAUGAAGAAAUUACAUAAUUAUCUAGAAGGUUGAAGUUAACUUCGUCACCUAGUUGCAGGCAUAUGGUACCUUUUCAGGGGACUCUUUAGAAAGAGACUGGGAAGUUGGAAGUGAUAUCCUAGCCCCUUCUUGCUCUAGGGAGGUGAUAUAGGCGCCAUGGAAAUAUCUGUGCCACUGCUAAUUGAUAGUUCUGCUAGCCUAAGCUUGUUGAUAGAUGAAGUCUUGUGAAUUGUGACCCUCUUGAGCUCAUAUACAGUGAAGGUGCAUGUGAAGAUUUAAGUGCAAUUUCUAGAAGUUACAUUCCUCUCCUAACAAAAUUUUUCUAUUUAUUAUCUUCUAUUCUAUUCCUAAGCAUGAAUGAGAUGCAAUUUUUAUAUGUUGAAAUUGUAAUUGUCCUGUUACUUGAAAAAACUGAAUGUUGCAAUAAUUUUUUUUCCCUUGUUUAAUAAUAAGUAUGAUCUACUCCUUCCCCG